UCUUCGUAAGCUGAGGAUGUAUGUCGCCU
rnacentral:piRNA from 1 species